CCCUUCUGCUUGUGUCUAAUCUCCAUUACGGACGUUAAAACCAUGCAAUGACUGAAGAAAAAGGCAAGCAUCUGCGGCUUCGAAGCAAGAUACUCAACCACAGCUGAGACUUUCUUUGUCUACCCCCCACUCCCGCCUCGAGGGAGGCCCACGUGAAGAAGAUGCAGAUUUCCAGAGCCAUAAAUUAAGGGGCGAUUAGUCACGUUGCAAUCUUUCUUCAAAGGAUUCUUUAAAGGCUCCUUCAUUGAAGUGUUUACAGCACAGUAACUUGCAGACUGAGAGGCUGGGGUGGGGGGUGGGGGUGGGGUGCCAUCAGGGGAACAGCCAGAGAACAGAGAAGACACUGGGAGAAACGUUGGGAAGGCCCUCCCACGGGAGCCACCCUGCGGAGGACCUGACAGACAAGAUUUCAUGGAUUCAGCAGUGGGUCGCCCGGCACCCGCUUGGUGGUGCAUGUAUCCCCGCUGCUGGGGAAGUGAAUAGAAGAAUAAAAAACCAGCAGUGCCAUCUCUUCUCUCCCUCUUUUUCCUGGAACUCUGAAGUUUGGCUUUUGUUGGAUUAAUGACCCCUAAGUUCCCACCUCGGUUUCUGGGAUCAAGUCCCUUAGCCACUCAGCACCUUGGCCCACUGGGCAGUCGGCUGACAGUGAGGGCUGAGCUCACGUGGCAGCUGUGGGGGGCUCAAUGGAGUCUCUUCUGAAGGUGGAGACAGGUCUGCUGGAGCCCAGACUCACCCCCUCUGGAGCCAUUACACAACCUGCUGUCACUUCCAGCUUCGAGU
rnacentral:lncRNA from 1 species